AUUGAACGCUGGCGGCAGGCCUAACACAUGCAAGUCGAACGAGUGGCGGACGGGUGAGUAAUGUCUGGGAAACUGCCCGAUGGAGGGGGAUAACUACUGGAAACGGUAGCUAAUACCGCAUACCAUCGGAUGUGCCCAGAUGGGAUUAGCUAGUGGGUGGGGUAACGGCUCACCUAGGCGACGAUCCCUAGCUGGUCUGAGAGGAUGACCAGCCACACUGGAACUGUGAAACGGUCCCGACUCGUACGAGAGGCAGCAGUGGGGAAUAUUGCACAAUGGGCUCGAGCCUGAUGCAGCGAUGCCGAGUGAAUGACGAAGUCCUUCGGGUUGUAAAGUACUUUCAGCGAGGAGGCGUUACUCGCAGAAGAAGCACCGGCUAACUCCGUGCCAGCAGCCGCGGUAAUUC
rnacentral:rRNA from 1 species